rnacentral:rRNA from 1 species
AUACGGAGGGUGCAAGCGUUAUCCGGAUUCAUUGGGUUUAAAGGGUUCGCAGGCGGCGUAUUAAGUCAGUGGUGAAAUCCCGAGGCUCAACCUCGGAACUGCCAUUGAUACUGGUAUGCUAGAGUAUAGUUGGCGUUGGCGGAAUGUAUCAUGUAGCGGUGAAAUGCUUAGAUAUGAUACAGAACACCGAUCGCGAAGGCAGCUAACGAAACUAUAACUGACGCUCAGGAACGAAAGCGUGGGGAGCGAACAGGAUUAGAAACCCUUGUAGUCC